CGCGACGGAUUGCCGAGUCCUGCCACCGUCACCGACUGCACCACACACCGCUGGCAGGAGCGGGGGACCCACUUUUGGGCAGACCCUCGGGUCGUCCCUUGGGGUGAAGCCAGUUCCGACUGGCCGGGCAGAACCUUUCGCCCGAACCCGACAGCUCACCUCGUAGGCAUCGAGAGGUUCA
rnacentral:sRNA from 2 species